UGAACGCUGGCGGCGUGCCUAAUACAUGCAAGUCGAACGAGGAGCCUUUGUAUUCGUACGGAGGUUUCCUAGUGGCGAACGGGUGAGUAACGCGUUGGUGACCUGCCCCGAAGUGGGGGAUAACAGCUCGAAAGAGCUGCUAAUACCCCAUGUGGUCACAAGGGUUAGAGGCCUUGUGACUGAAGGAGUAAUCCGCUUCGGGAGGGGCCUGCGUCCCAUCAGCUAGUUGGUAAGGUAAUGGCCUACCAAGGCGAAGACGGGUAGGGGGCCUGAGAGGGUGGCCCCCCACAAUGGAACUGAAACACGGUCCAUACACCUACGGGUGGCAGCAGUAGGGAAUAUUGCACAAUGGGCGAAAGCCUGAUGCAGCAACGCCGCGUGCACGAUGAAGGCCUUCGGGUCGUAAAGUGCUUUUCGGGGAGAUGAGGAAGGACAGUAUCCCCAGAAUAAGGAUCGGCUAACUAC
rnacentral:rRNA from 1 species